CGGCUUUCAGCUUAACCUUCCCCUCUCCCGAGCCUUUUUCCGGGAAAGGUAGGACGUGGAACGUGGCUACGCGUAUAUAAGACGGCUGUCGGUUAGAAGGGAAGAACACGUCGUUGAUAACAAUCAAGGGUGGUGAAACUCGUCGAAUGGAUCCACCAUGGUUUUACUCAGAAAUCCAUAGAACAAAGUGAGUGACUCUACUCCAGAUGAAAAAUCAGCAACACUUCAACAGCAGUUUCAGCACUCUACUUGGAAAUCAACCAAAGACUUACAUUAUAACAUAAGAUUUUAACUUGCCGGCAAGAGCCGUUUAACUUGGUAUACGGUCUAAUUGCUUGUAUAAUACUGUCAGAGACAAGAGCUGCCAGGUGAAGUGUUUAACAUACAUGGAAAUUCUCCUAUUUUGUAGUAUUCUUUUCACUUUUCCAUGAACACAAGCUUCCUGUCAUUUUUAACCAAAUAAAAAUUAAGAGUAACCAUGCA